GACGAACGCUGGCGGCAUGCUUAACACAUGCAAGUCGAACGAAAAGGCCCUGCUUUUGUGGGGUGCUCGGGUGGCGAACGGGUGAGUUACCCGUAAGUUCCCUGUCCUUGCCUUUGGGAUAACUUCAUGCAACUUGGUCUAAUACCGGCUAGGAUCUCCUGCUUCUUGGUGGGCGUUGGUUAGUUUCGGCGGUUGGGGAUGGACUGGCGGCGUAUCAGCUUGUUGGUGGGGUAGUGGAUUACCAAGGCUUUGACGGGUAGCCGUCCUGAGAGGGUAAACGGCCACAUUGGGACUGAGAUACGGCACAGACUAGUACGGGAGGCAGGAGAGGGGAAGAGUGCACAAGGGGAGGAAGGAAGAUGCAGCAAAGCAGCGUGGGGGAUGAGGGGAUGGGGGUUGUAAACCGAUUUCGCCUGUGACGAAGCGUGAGUGACGGUAAUAGGUAAAGAAGCACCGGCUAACUACGUG
rnacentral:rRNA from 1 species